rnacentral:rRNA from 1 species
AGGAUUCCCCUAGUAACUGCGAGUGAAGCGGGAAAAGCUCAAAUUUAAAAUCUGGUGGUCUUUGGCCAUCCGAGUUGUAAUUUAGAGAAGCGUCUUCCGCGCUGGGCCGUGCACAAGUCUCCUGGAAUGGAGCGUCAUAGAGGGUGAGAAUCCCGUCUUUGGCACGGACCCCCAGGGCUUCUGUGAUGCGCUCUCGACGAGUCGAGUUGUUUGGGAAUGCAGCUCAAAAUGGGUGGUGAACUCCAUCUAAAGCUAAAUAUUGGCGAGAGACCGAUAGCGAACAAGUACCGUGAGGGAAAGAUGAAAAGCACUUUGGAAAGAGAGUGAAACAGUACGUGAAAUUGUUGAAAGGGAAACGCUUGAAGUCAGUCGCGUCGACCGAGACUCAGCCUUGCCUCGGCUUGGUGUACUUCUCGGCUUGACGGGGUCAGCAUCAAUUUUGAUCCUUGGAUAAUGGCAAGGGAAAGGUAGCACCUUUUUAGGUGUGUUAUAGUCCUCUGUCGCAUGCAAGGGUCAGGAUUGAGGAACUCAGCAUGCACCUUUGGGUGUCGGGGCCUUGGCCCACGUUACGUGCUU